CCUACGGGAGGCAGCAGUGGGGGAUAUUGCACAAUGGGCGAAAGCCUGAUGCAGCAACGCCGCGUGAGGGAAGACGGUUUUCGGAUUGUAAACCUCUGUUCUAAGUGACGAACAAAUGACGGUAGCUUAGGAGAAAGCCCCGGCUAACUACGUGCCAGCAGCCGCGGU
rnacentral:rRNA from 1 species